CAAACUCCGGUGAUAAUAUUGAGUAUCUCGUUUUCUCUAAUCCUUCACGCGUGUUUUUCAAAGGUAAUGUUUGAAUUUGUCGGAUAUUGUAAUAAUGUAGGUACUUACCGCGUGGUAUAUACUGCAGAAAGGUAUUAAUCACCGAAAUCCAUGUAUACCUGCGUCACGCGUGUUCAACGAACAGUUGAUAAUCCCACUGGAUUUGUAUCGUCUGUACCGCGAUUAUAUUAUUAGUCAAUACAUUGCAGAUAAAUAAGACUCGAGAAAAGAAAAAGAAAAU